rnacentral:lncRNA from 1 species
GUCGUCCAGGUCGGUGUCUUCCUCCGAGGACUCCUCGUCUUCUUCGUCUUCUUCGUCGUCCAGGUCAUCGUCUUCGUCGACGCCUCCCCACCAGCUACGGUGCUGCCGCCUGCGCGGGUGAAACAGGAAGCACGUUGGGAAAGAAAAGCAUAUGAACAAACAAGAGAAAAUGACUCACCGUACUCAUCCUCGUACUCGUCUUCGUCCUCGUCGUCUUCGUCGUCGUCACUGCUGCUGCUGCUGUCGACGCGCACGGUAGCAGGCCGGGGACCGUCACCCGACGAGCGAGGCUUGAGGAAGAAGCGCCGGUGACGGCCGUCCGCAUCGCAGCUGGCGUCUGCAUCACGUUAGAGGGCAUAAUGAACCGCCGCAUUCGUUUGCGCCUUGGCGUCGGUUGCCGCGAUGCCGCCAUCUUUGACAGGUGAAACCAAUUUCGGAGGCUGAGCUUUGCUUCCCUGCACAGUGAUCUCCGAGGCUGCGCCACACGGGCUGUCUUCUUUCGGAGGAGCCUGU